UAGCAGGCCACGUCACCUCACCUCAC
rnacentral:piRNA from 1 species